rnacentral:rRNA from 1 species
AGAAUCAACGCUGGUGGCGUGUCUAACACAUGCAAGUCGAACGCGAAAGGGACUUCGGUCCUGAGUAGAGUGGCGAACGGGUGAGUAACGCGUGGGUGACCUACCCUCGAGUGGGGGAUAACGUUCCGAAAGGGACGCUAAUACCGCAUGACAUUCUGGGUUUGAAGACCUGGAAAUCAAAGCCGGGGACCGUAAGGCCUGGCGCUUGAGGAGGGGCCCGCGUCUGAUUAGCUAGUUGGCGGGGUAAUGGCCCACCAAGGCGACGAUCAGUA